rnacentral:rRNA from 1 species
AAUAGAUACCCCGGUAGUCCACGCCGUAAACGAUGAGUGCUAAGUGUUAGAGGGUUUCCGCCCUUUAGUGCUGCAGCUAACGCAUUAAGCACUCCGCCUGGGGAGUACGGUCGCAAGACUGAAACUCAAAGGAAUUGACGGGGGCCCGCACAAGCGGUGGAGCAUGUGGUUUAAUUCGAAGCAACGCGAAGAACCUUACCAGGUCUUGACAUCCUCUAACAACUCUAGAGAUAGAGCGUUCCCCUUCGGGGGACAGAGUGACAGGUGGUGCAUGGUUGUCGUCAGCUCGUGUCGUGAGAUGUUGGGUUAAGUCCCGCAACGAGCGCAACCCUUGAUCUUAGUUGCCAGCAUUUAGUUGGGCACUCUAAGGUGACUGCCGGUGACAAACCGGAGGAAGGUGGGGAUGACGUCAAAUCAUCAUGCCCCUUAUGACCUGGGCUACACACGUGCUACAAUGGGGAGGACAAUGGGCUGCUACCUGGCAACAGGAUGCAAAUCUCAAAAACCUCUUCUCAGUUCAGAUUGU